CGGGCGGCCGUGACCCUGCUGGAGUGCGGGGGGGACCUCCAGCCCCCCGGGGGGUCCCUGCGCCUCCUCUGCCGAGGGGCCGGGUUCAGUUUUGGGAGCAAUGCCAUGUACUGGGUGCGCCAGAGACCUGGGCAGGGACUGGAAUAUGUCGCCUACAUCAGCAACAGUGGUGGCAGCACCAACUACGCGCCGUCGGUCAAGGGCCGGUUCACGAUCUCCAGGGACAACGGGCAGAGCUCGGUGACGCUGACCAUGACCAACCUCAAGGACGAGGAUUCCGGCACCUAUUUCUGUGCCAAAAGUUCGGAUGGUUGUUGUGCUGCUGCUGCUGGUGAUAUUCUUUGUGAUGGUGUUGGUCACGGUGGUUUUUAUCUGAGUGCUCAUUUUUGA